GUCUUUUAGAUUAUAAUUUAAAGUCUAACCUGCCCAAUGAAAAUUUUAAAUGGCUGCAGUAUUUUGACUGUACAAAGGUAGCAUAAUAAUUAGUUUUUUAAUUGAAAGCUUGUAUGAAAGGUUGAACGAAAAAAUAACUGUCUCAAUUUAAUUUAAUUAGAAUUUUAUUUUUUAGUUAAAAAGCUAAAAUUUUUUUUAAAGACGAGAAGACCCUAUAGAGUUUUAUAUUUAAUUUAUAUUUUUUAUAGAAAUUUAUUAUAAAGUAAAAUAUUUUAUUGGGGUGAUAUAUAAAUUUAAAAAACUUUAAUUUUUAAAAACAUUAAUUUAUGAUUAAUUGAUCCAUAUAAAUGAUUAAAAGAUUAAAUUACCUUAGGGAUAACAGCGUAAUUUUUUUAAAGAGUUCUAAUCGAAAAAAAAGAUUGCGACCUCGAUGUUGGAUUAAAAUUAAAAUUUGGUGUAGAAGCUAAAUAUUUAGGUCUGUUCGACCUUUAAAAUUUUACAUGAUCUGAGUUUAAAUCGGCGUGAGCCAGGUUGGUUUCUAUCUUAAAAUUAUAAAAAAUAUUUUAGUACGAAAGGACCAAAUAUUUAUAAUAUUUAUUUUAUUUUGAAUAC
rnacentral:rRNA from 1 species